rnacentral:lncRNA from 1 species
UAUGCUAAGUUAUGAGCUAACCAUGGUUCUUGUGAUCUUUUUUACCUAACUAAGCUAAUUAUGUCAUAAAUGAACUAAAUUAGCUAAUUAUGUCAUUUUAGAGGAUAAUUAGCUAAGUAUGUAUUUCUUGGGGAAAAUAAGCUAAGGAGAAGAAGAAAGAGGAGAAGAAAGNNNNNNNNNNAAGAAGAAUAAGAAGAAGAAGAAGAAGGAGAAGGUGAAGAAGUGGAAGAGGAUGAUUACAAUACUUUUCUUAUUUUGAGCUUAUUAUGUCAUUUAGGAGGAAGAUACGCUAAGUUAUGAGCUAACCAAGGUUCUUGUGAUGUUUUUUUACCUAACUAAGUUAAUUAUGUCAUAAAUGAACUAAAUUAUUUAAUUAUGUCAUUUUGGAGGAUAAUUAGCUAAGUAUGUCUUUCUUGGGGAAAAUAAGCUAAGGAGAAGAAGAAAGAGGAGACGAAGAAGGAGAAGAAGAAGGAGGAGGAGCAGAAGAAAAAUAAGAAGGAGAAGAGGAUGAUUACAAGAAUAAUAAUAAGAAGGAGAAGGAGAAGAAGAGGAAGAGGAUGAUUACAAUUCUUUUCUUAUUUUGAGCUUUUUAUGUCAUUUAGGAGGAAGACACUCUAAGUUAUGAGUUAACCAAGGUUCUUGUGAUGUUUUUUACCUAACUAAGCUAAUUAUGUCAGCAAUGGACUAAAUUAGCUAAUUAUGUCAUUUUGGAGGAUAAUUAGCGAAGUAUGUUUUUCUUGGGGAAAAUAAGCUAAGGAGAAGAAGAAAGAGGAGAAGAAAGAGGAGAAGAAGGAGAAGAAGAAGAAGAAGAAGGAGGAGAAGAAGAAGAAGAAGAAGAGGGAGAAGAGGAUGAUUACAAGAAUAAGAAGUAGAAGGAGAAGGAGAAGAAGGGGAAGA